rnacentral:rRNA from 1 species
GACGUAGGUGGCGAACGUUAUCCGAAAUUAUUGGGCGUAAAGGGUGCGUAGGUGGCCUGACAAGUUAUCAGUGGCAAAUCGAGGCUCAACCUCGUGGAAACUGGUAAUACUGUCCGGCUUGAGUACAGGAGAGGUUAACGGAACUCUAUGUGGAGCGGUAAAAUGCAAAGAUAUAUAGAAGAACAUCAAUAACGGCGAAGGCAGUUAACUAUUCUGUUACUGACGCUGAGGCACGAAAGCGUGGGGAGCAAAACGG